rnacentral:rRNA from 1 species
AUGAACGCUGGCGGCGUGCCUAAUACAUGCAAGUCGAGCGAACAGACGAGGAGCUUGCUCCUCUGACGUUAGCGGCGGACGGGUGAGUAACACGUGGAUAACCUACCUAUAAGACUGGGAUAACUUCGGGAAACCGGAGCUAAUACCGGAUAAUAUAUUGAACCGCAUGGUUCAAUAGUGAAAGACGGUUUUGCUGUCACUUAUAGAUGGAUCCGCGCCGCAUUAGCUAGUUGGUAAGGUAACGGCUUACCAAGGCAACGAUGCGUAGCCGACCUGAGAGGGCGAUCGGCCACACUGGAACUGAGACACGGUCCAGACUCCUACGGGAGGCAGCAGUAGGGAAUCUUCCGCAAAGGGCGAAAGCCUGACGGAGCAACGCCGCGUGAGUGAUGAAGGUCUUCGGAUCGUAAAACUCUGUUAUUAGGGAAGAACAAAUGUGUAAGUAACUAUGCACGUCUUGACGGUACCUAAUCAGAAAGCCACGGCUAACUACGUG